GACGGGGGGAAAGAAGAGUGGGGGUGGGGUCGGGUGGUGAUAUUUCUAUUUUACUUAAUAUGUGUGAGGUUUUGUGUCAGUGUUGCUUGUGCUGGUUCUCUGCUGUUAUCUAAACAUUAUCUGAACUGCAGAUUCCCAUUUAUCAGAGAGACUUUUUUAACAAUCUUCAGGCUCAAUUAUCAUAGUACCCAAGGAAGCAAAGUACCUUGGGUUGGGCUAUUGACCCUGGGAAGGUUGUGACUAGUUUGUUUACUCUGCUUGAUGCAAAGUAGAGUAUAUUCCUCUGCAAGCAAUGUAUGGUAUGAGAAGCUACAGAACCCAUACAAAUAAAAUGAGUUUGAACUGAUAGUUUAACUUAAUGUCAAGGAUGUACAAAGGUUUGCUGUGUGUGCUGCUAAAUUCCUAAGGUUUAAGCAUCUUUCUGAAGAUCUCUUUCUCAGCCUCAGAAUUAAGUUUCCUGCUUUCAUCUGUCUUUAUAAUACUAUUUUAUUUGUUUUGUUGCCUGCGUAAUAGUAAUCAGCAACAGUUCCACCUUAGGAAGGGAAUGACCAAACCUCUUUUGGUAGUGGGAGGACAUACAACAAGAAAACCAAAAGGCUCUCUUCUCACAAGGAAACUGACCCAAUCAUUUUGCUUUUUACUAUUUCGGGAAGUGGGCAGGACUGCUGGUUUAUGGGUAACAACACUAAAUUCCCCGGAAACACAGCUCUGAAAAGCCUGACUCACAUUUCAAAGCAUUGUGCUGGUCUCCUGCUCAGGUGAUUGAAGACUACUGUGAAUGUAAAGAGACACCUUCAGUCCAAGAAAGAUUACUGUGUGUGCAAAUGUCAUUGGCAGCAUUAGGAUUUAUACAGAUGCAUUUAGAUGCAUUUAUGUUUCAGAGCCUUAAUUCAUAUUAGUCACUUUGGGAGUGUUCUGACUGUAAUAUUCAAUAAAUCUCAUUUCUAGAUACAUAGUGUCCCUUGAGCAGCAAUGUGAUCAGAACUGUACAUUCCCGAACCUUUUGGAGCCAUUCCAUUUAAGACUAAAUCGCAAAGUGGCACAUUACAUCAGCUGACUGCAGGUUUUAUUACCCCAUUCUGUAAUAUAACCCAAGGGGUCCAGCAUUCUUUGGAAACAAUCAGCUCUUUUAAAAAUAGAAACAUACAAGUCAUUGAUGUGGUGCCAAAAAUAUCCAGCCUUAGUUCGUGACACAAACACCAUUCACUGCAUUAAAUUAUUCUCCCUCAACUACAAAACAAAGAAAGAAUACACUGGCUUCCUUUAUGCCAUUAAUUUAUUUUUUUUUAAAUACGUUUUCCUGGCUUGCAUCUCUCUUGCAAAACACAACAACAACAACAGCAAAUGCAACACAUUUUCUUAAUUAGCCUUAAGUUUUUCCAAAUUUAAUAUUUAAAACAUUUAAAUAAUGAACGGCUGUAGUGCACAGGCCAUUUUCUGAAGGUUGCCUCAUCAAGGCAUUCAGGCAUCUGGCCUGGUCGGGUGAAGAUUAUGUUAUGGCUAUGUAAAACUAAAUUAUCAAACAAUAUUGCCAACAAUGUCAAUCUGGACUCUGUUAUACCUGCAGAGUCAACAACUACAGCAAAAUUUAAAAAGUGCAGCAGAGACGCCAUGGUAGAUCAAAAUGGGUGACUGUGUCAUUUCUGUGCAAACUGCUUGGAAUUUUGUGCUAGGUUUCCCUCAUGCUAAGUGAGAAUCUGGUGUAUUGAGUUAUGAUAAUAAUAUUAUGAAUUUACAGGGUGCCUUAAAUUCUUGGGUCUAGUAGGUAUCAGAAUUUAAUCAAUGCUUGGAGUAUUCACCUGGUGACAGACGCUGGAUUUAGUGAAGUAUUAAAAUACGGGAAGAAACAGCUUCCUGUGUUCAGGAAUUGACUGGGAGAUUAGCCAUUAACCAAAGACAAAGGAAAGGUAAUGGGCCAUUAGGAAAGUCAGAGAGAGGGGACCCUCCUCCAGCUCUGAGUUUCUUAGCAGGAUAAAUGCCAGAGUUUUGAAGGAGAGCAGUUACUUAGGAUUGCAGUUGGCUGGGAUGUGAACUCAGGGGAAAAGGUGACACUGUUAAAUGCAGCAAGAUAGAAGCAGAGAAAGAGCUGUGACUGGUGCCUGUUUAAAUCCAAGGCUGCUGUGGCUAUGGGAGAAGCAGAACUCUCUUGGAGUGUUAAUGCUGUGAGCCCCUCCAUCACAGGCCCAGGUUGCAUAUAUGUGUAAAUAAACCAUAUGUCGUAAAGACACCCCAAGCUCCAAGCACCCAGGCACCAUGGGUCUGUGUUUCCUUUUGGAAAAUGAGAGGGGGCAUGACUACAUUCCAGCCAGAAGGCAUUUAUGUAUAUCCUAGCUGGAUGUUAGAGAGGGUUGCUGAAUGAAAGGUGAGCAGCUAGGUAAGAGAUAGCGGGAAGUUGAGAAGAGAGGGUAGGGGCAAGGUAAUUCAAAAAGCUAGGCACUGCAAAGAACUAGUAAAGAGAGAUUUAAGAGACGGGAGAUUUGGCUAGGGAAACAUGAGGAUGUUAGAAUAAAAGGAGAGUGGAAAGGAACAAGGGCAGGGGAGGAAGGGAACUACUGGUCUGGGGAGCCAAGGGUUAGGCACUUAUCAGAAGCCAUUAAGGCUGUUCCUCAAGAAAUCAAGGCUUGACAUUUGCUGAGUUCUCCAAGUUGCAAUGCCUUCAUCUGGGAUUUUUGACCCAAGUGGCAAGACCUCCACUCCAUCUUCCAACUAGGGAGCUUAUAGUUGCUGAUCCUUACCAUUACAGAACUAUUGGACUGAAAAUAUUUCUUGAGGAGUUCCCAAGUGCUGUAAUUAAAUUAAAUCAAAGAAUUGUACAGUUGGAAGGGAAUCUUUUGCUCAAAGAGAUUGAGUCUCAUGCUCUACCAAAUGAGCUAUCCCAGCAAUUACAUUACUGUUACAUUUUAUUUUAUUUCUGUUUUGUUGUGCCCUGGCUUUGGGCUCAUUAUGAGGAAGGGUGAGAAGGAAAUAUUUUCAAAUAAAUGACAAAAUAAAUAAAGUAUUAGUCUUAAAAUAAUUUAAAGUCUUUGACAAAUGCACGUUUCAGGACAUUUCACACUCGUAUGCAUGCAAACUUCACGCAAAUAAUUUACCAAGCUGUUGCUGGAGUCAGGUCUAAAAGCAUGACGACAUACCAGUAUUCCCAAGUUUCAACAUUACAUUGCAUUAUUCUCCAUUCCAGAAAGUGAGUCACAAUGCAUGGAUUUAUGGAUCUAGGAAAGGGCAGCAGUUGUGUAACAUUUUUCCUUAGAACAAACAAUUGACCUCAUCUCCAGAAACCUGUAGUUUCUAGCCCAAGGUCUGUGUUUCAACAAGUUAAAACUAUAAAACUAUUCUUUUGGAAGUUUUCACAAACCUUUUUUGUUUUUGCGACCCUACACAAUUUGGUGGCAUGAUCAAGCCUGGUCACUUUAUUGCUCGCCUUCAAGUCAUUUAUGAACAUGUUAAAGGCACAUGUCCCAAAGCUGAUCAUUUGGGAACCCUACUGCUUACACUCCUCCAUUGUGCUAACUGUCCAUUUAUCCCCACUCUCUGUUUCCUCUUCCUUGUCCUCUUAUGGAUCAUUAACCAGUUAGCUCUAUUUAUUCCAUGACUAUUAUUCACGAAUCUUUGGGAAGGGACCUUAUUGAAAGCCUAAGUACACAGUGUCUACUGAAUCACCCCUAUCCAUAUGCUUAAUGAAACAAAAUGUUAGUUAAGACAGGAUUUACCAUUAAAUGGCAUCCUAUCUAUUUGCUUAAUGACACAAAAGUUUAGUUAAGACAGGAUAUACCAUUAAAUGGCAUUUAAUCUAGGUUUCUGGUUACAGUUUACCUCAAACCUGCCUUGCUAGAGCAAAGCUAAAAACUAAUCUUCUACCGGUUUAACACUCCAAGUUUCAGCUCCUGAGCUGUAAGUUACCUAUCUUGGUUCUGGCUGUAGGAGGUGCUUACCUCUUUUGGAUCUAACUCUUAGCACACAAUGCCUUUGCUGUGUGCUUGUUAGUUUUAGCAAAUGCUUUCUGCUUUCUCACCCCUUCCUGGAUAUGCCUAGGACUGAACAUGUGACUUUCUACAUGCAAAGUGCUUAGCCUGUCACUAAGUACUGCACCUCCCUUGAACGGUUCAUACUGCAGGUGGGGGAAUCCUUUUUAAAAAAAAAAUAAUCCCCUAUGGAAAGCCUCAAUGCCGAAGGAAAACUAGGAACAUAGAGAGCUGCCUUAUACAAAGUCAGAGCAUUGGUUUACUAGCUCAGUGUUCACAUUAGCACAACAGGGAGGGGGCUGUGGCAGAACCUUUCUCCUAAGUAGUAGUCUUUCAUUUGCAGAGUGUUUAUGCAGAAAUGUUCUUCACUUCUGCAGUGCAGGAACUGCAGCCUGAAUCGUAACAGUCCACUCUGCCACCUCAGAAUCCUGUGACGCCAUUGUUGUAUGUAUGCAACAGCCAUCACAGAUAGCACAGCUGGGGAAAAGAUCUCACUUAAGGCAUCAUAGCAUUGCUGCUGGAGUCAACAAUAUUGAUAGACCAAACUUCUGAUUUUGCCUAAGGCUGCUUAAUAUUCUCCUAAAAGCUGUAAGCCAGGACUGCAAGAAGCUGCCCUAUACCUGAAUCAGAAACAUUGUCCAUCUAGCUGAGUACUAUCUUACCCUGACCAGCAGCAACUGAAACAUGGUUUCAACCAGGUCUUUCACAGCCCUACCUGGAGGGUACCAAACUGCCGUGUGAGGGCAGGGACCUCUGAAAUGUGGGCUGGAAGCCUUUUAAAUAUGCAAAUGACUAACGAAUUAAUUUUAACUAGU